GUGUCAGCAGCCGCGGUAAUACGAAGGUCCCAAGCGUUGUUCGGAUUUACUGGGCGUAAAGAGUCUGUAGGCGGUGGGGUAAGUCAGAUGUGAAAUCCCGGGGCUCAACCCCGGAACUGCAUCCGAUACUGCCUCACUUGAGGGUUGGAGGGGAGUCUGGAAUUCUCGGUGUAGCAGUGAAAUGCGUAGAUAUCGAGAGGAACACUAGUGGCGAAGGCGAGACUCUGGACAACACCUGACGCUGAGAGACGAAGGCCAGGGGAGCGAAAAGGAUUAGAUACCCUUGUAGUCCUGGCAGUAAACGGUGCACGCUUGGUGUGGGAGGGUUCGACCCCUUCUGUGCCGGAGCUAACGCGUUAAGCGUGCCGCCUGGGGAGUACGGUCGCAAGAUUAAA
rnacentral:rRNA from 1 species